rnacentral:lncRNA from 1 species
GCUCUGGCCUCCCCUGAUGCCUAGUGGUUUUCUGUGUCAGUGGUAUAGGAUCCUCCUGGGCGGAGGAGAGUGGUGAGCUCAGAGGUGACAUUUUAUGUCUUAGUGUAACCUACAUAAAACCUAGGUGGCCUGGUGAUCCAGCUUGAUCUGAAAAAUCACAAAGAAAUACAAUCUAGUUGGCAAGGAAAAAAGAAAGAGGCAGACGGAAAUAGAAGGGAAGAGACAACAGCUUGACGAGCAGGUGCUGCUGCUCCAACAUUCCAAGUCCAAAGUGCUUCGGGAAAAAUGGCUGCUGCAGGGUGUACCGGCGGGAACAGCGGAGGAGGAGGAAGCCAGACGCCGACAGUCUGAGGAGGAUGAAUUCAAAGUCAAGCAGCUUGAAGAUAA